rnacentral:rRNA from 1 species
CCUACGGGAGGCAGCAGUGAGGAAUAUUGGUCAAUGGGCGCGAGCCUGAACCAGCCAAGUCGCGUGAGGGAAGACGGUCCUAUGGAUUGUAAACCUCUUUUGUCGGGGAGCAAAAGACGCCACGCGUGGCGUUCCGAGAGUACCCUAAGAAAAAGCAUCGGCUAACUCCGUGCCAGCAGCCGCGGUAAUACGGAGGAUGCGAGCGUUCUCCGGAUUUCUUGGGUUUAAAGGGUGCGCAGGCGGAAGAUCAAGUCAGCGGUAAAAUUGAGAGGCUCAACCUCGUCGAGCCGUUGAAACUGGUUUUCUUGAGUGAGUGAGAAGUAUGCGGAAUGCGUGGUGUAGCGGUGAAAUGCAUAGAUAUCACGCAGAACUCCGAUUGCGAAGGCAGCAUACCGGCGCUCAACUGACGCUCAUGCACAAAAGUGUGGGUAUCGAACAGGAUUAGAUACCCCUGUAGUC